AUGCUUAAUUUCCAACUUUUUAACUCUUUACCACAGUGCUGCUUUUCUUCCUCCACGUCCAGAAGUAAUGGAGGUCAAGUGAAUGGCUUCUACUUCCUUGUUGCAGUGCGGGUUAAUCCUCAGGAGACUGUACUUCAUGAACCAGGAGUUCAGGCUGAGAAGGUUUUGACGUCUUUCACAAAAGGGCAUAGCUGAACAAUAGCGCUUGAGCUAAAAACUAGGUAAGUAAGUGUAUUUCCCUUGCCUAUUUAAAGAUGGUCAUACAGGGCUUGUGCCAAAAAAAAAAAAAUUAAGAUGUCCUCUACUUUAACCACUGCCAGGCCCAAGGGCUAAGCACAAGAGGU
rnacentral:lncRNA from 1 species